AUUGAACGCUGGCGGCAUGCUUUACACAUGCAAGUCGAACGGCAGCGGGGGCUUCGGCCCGCCGGCGAGUGGCGAACGGGUGAGUAAUGCAUCGGAACGUGCCCAGUCAUGGGGGAUGACUACGCGAAAGCGUAGCUAAUACCGCAUACGCCCUGAGGGGGAAAGUGGGGGAUCGAAAGACCUCACGUGAUUGGAGCGGCCGAUGUCAGAUUAGCUAGUUGGUGAGGUAAAGGCUCACCAAGGCGACGAUCUGUAGCGGGUCUGAGAGGAUGAUCCGCCACACUGGGACUGAGACACGGCCCAGACUCCUACGGGAGGCAGCAGUGGGGAAUUUUGGACAAUGGGCGAAAGCCUGAUCCAGCCAUGCCGCGUGAGUGAAGAAGGCCUUCGGGUUGUAAAGCUCUUUCGGACGGGAAGAAAUGGCGAGCUCUAACAUAGCUUGUCGAUGACGGUACCGUAAGAAGAAGCACCGGCUAACUACGUGCCAGCCGCCGCGGUAA
rnacentral:rRNA from 1 species